AAUUAUAGGGCCAGCGGAGGGUGGGGCUUCCUCUCGGGCCCUUUCCACUUCCUGCACCAGCUCCAGAAGAGGUGGUGCCUUAUCUGGAGUCUUCUGAUCAGGCCACGAGGUGUACCAGUACUGCCGCAGACUGCGCUCCUCUUCCUCACACUGGUUGGUAAUCAUCACUAUGAUUGGACUUCUCUCCUGCCACACCAUCCUCCAGAAGUCUCCCACUGUGUUCACGCCAUGUGCAGGCCACUCUAACCUCUCCUGAAGCCCCACUGGUGUGACUGUGAGGGUGGCGGCAUCACCCUCCGUCCUGGUGUCGGUGCCCAUUUCAAAGACCGGCGUCUGGGGUACACGGUCCAUGUCCAGCAGAUCCUCCUGAGCGUCCGUCCACUCUGACAGGGUGAAGGAGGGCUGGCGGCUCACAGACUGACGCCUAUCACCAAUGUCCCGCGACACUGUUCCUGACGACCACAAGCCAGUGCCAUAAUGCCACUUACACACCAUGUGGAUGACCUGUGGAGAGGUCUACACUAGCCUACAUGCUGAGCUGAAGACCAAAGCCUGUGCAUAAAGGUCAUCUUAAGCAGACAUUUGAGUGAAAAAAUCUUCAAACAAGUAAAGAUUUUAUCCAUGUUUUCUUUUUCUGGUUUCACAUACUGUGACUUGGGAGACGACAAACAGUGCAGCCCAGCAGUGGAUCUCAAUCACCAGCGCGUACACCUUGUGCAUAAACACUUCCUCUCCCUGUUUGCUUUGGCCCCCUGUGGGUCCAUCUUUGCAUUUUGGGAGUCCAUCUUUUUUAAGGACUCCGUCGCCUAUUUUUUCAGUCUUUGUGGGCUCAUCCAGCCAGACGGGGUCCUCAUCGGGCCUCAGGAAAAUGGAGUCCUCAGUGUGGGAACGGGUGGAGCUGCUCAGCCGGCGGGUCAUGAUCCCCCUGUUAAAUAAGGCUGUUUUGUAUUAAAGAUAUCUGACAUGGAUUCUGACUCUGUUUUUUGACAUUUACUUAUUUAUUAUGUAUUUGAUAUCUACGCUCUCUGAAAAUCUAACAAAAUAAUGAGAGAUUAAUAUCUUCAAGCAUGUCCAAAAACAUUGUUUAAAUGAAAUAAGCAGUGUGUGCUUUAGUUGUUGUUUUAACCCCUUAUAAACAUUAACAGUGUCAAUAUGGGUAGUGUUAUGGGGUUAAGGUGUUUUAUGGUUUUAUAUUGCUUUUUUAGAGCUUUGACAAGGUAUUAAAUUAUAACAACAUUUAACUUGCAGACAUACUUCAAACAAAAUAAAGGUUUUUCUGUUCACAAUUGUGAACAAUUCUUGGUAAGUAAAUGUCUAAUUUUAU